rnacentral:rRNA from 1 species
UGCAAGUCGAGCGGACAGAUGGGAGCUUGCUCCCUGAUGUUAGCGGCGGACGGGUGAGUAACACGUGGGUAACCUGCCUGUAAGACUGGGAUAACUCCGGGAAACCGGGGCUAAUACCGGAUGCUUGUUUGAACCGCAUGGUUCAAACAUAAAAGGUGGCUUCGGCUACCACUUACAGAUGGACCCGCGGCGCAUUAGCUAGUUGGUGAGGUAACGGCUCACCAAGGCAACGAUGCGUAGCCGACCUGAGAGGGUGAUCGGCCACACUGGGACUGAGACACGGCCCAGACUCCUACGGGAGGCAGCAGUAGGGAAUCUUCCGCAAUGGACGAAAGUCUGACGGAGCAACGCCGCGUGAGUGAUGAAGGUUUUCGGAUCGUAAAGCUCUGUUGUUAGGGAAGAACAAGUACCGUUCGAAUAGGGCGGUACCUUGACGGUACCUAACCAGAAAGCCACGGCUAACUACGUGCCAGCAGCCGCGGUAAUACGUAGGUGGCAAGCGUUGUCCGGAAUUAUUGGGCGUAAAGGGCUCGCAGGCGGUUCCUUAAGUCUGAUGUGAAAGCCCCCGGCUCAACCGGGGAGGGUCAUUGGAAACUGGGGAACUUGAGUGCAGAAGAGGAGAGUGGAAUUCCACGUGUAGCGGUGAAAUGCGUAGAGAUGUGGAGGAACACCAGUGGCGAAGGCGACUCUCUGGUCUGUAACUGACGCUGAG